UACGAGAGGUCCAAACGUUAUUCGGAAUCACUGGGCUUACAGAGUUCGUAGGCGGUCCAGAAAGUGGGGUGUGAAAGCCCUCGGCUUAACCGAGGAACUGCGCUCCAAACUACUGGGCUAGAGGAAGAUAGAGGUGAGCAGAACUGAUGGUGGAGCGGUGAAAUGCGUUGAUAUCAUCAGGAAUACCGGAGGCGAAGGCGGCUCACUGGGUCGUGUCUGACGCUGAGGAACGAAAGCUAGGGGAGCAAACGGG
rnacentral:rRNA from 1 species